GAUGAACGCUGGCGGCGUGCCUAAUACAUGCAAGUCGAGCGAACGGACGAGAAUCUUGCUUCUCUGAUGUUAGCGGCGGACGGGUGAGUAACACGUGGAUAACCUACCUAUAAGACUGGGAUAACUGCGGGAAACCGUAGCUAAUACCGGAUAAUAUUUUGAACCGCAUGGUUCAAAAGUGAAAGACGGUCUUGCUGUCACUUAUAGAUGGAUCCGCGCUGCAUUAGCUAGUUGGUAAGGUAACGGUUUACCAAGGCAACGAUGCAUAGCCGACCUGAGAGGGUGAUCGGCGACACUGGAACUGAGACACGGUCCAGACUCCUACGGGAGGCAGCAGUAGGGAAUCUUCCGAAAUGGGCGAAAGCCUGACGGAGCAACGCCGCGUGAGUGAUGAAGGUCUUCGGAUCGUAAAACUCUGUUAUUAGGGAAGAACAUAUGUGUAAGUAACUGUGCACAUCUUGACGGUACCUAAACAGAAAGCCACGGCUAACUACGUG
rnacentral:rRNA from 1 species